AGUGAACGCUGGCGAUAGGCCUAACACAUGCAAGUCGAACGGCAGCACAGUAAGAGCUUGCUCUUACGGGUGGCGAGUGGCGGACGGGUGAGGAAUACAUCGGAAUCUACUUUUUCGUGGGGGAUAACGUAGGGAAACUUACGCUAAUACCGCAUACGACCUACGGGUGAAAGCAGGGGAUCUUCGGACCUUGCGCGAUUGAAUGAGCCGAUGUCGGAUUAGCUAGUUGGCGGGGUAAAGGCCCACCAAGGCGACGAUCCGUAGCUGGUCUGAGAGGAUGAUCAGCCACACUGGAACUGAGACACGGUCCAGACUCCUACGGGAGGCAGCAGUGGGGAAUAUUGGACAAUGGGCGCAAGCCUGAUCCAGCCAUACCGCGUGGGUGAAGAAGGCCUUCGGGUUGUAAAGCCCUUCUGUUGGGAAAGAAAAGCAGCAGGUUAAUACCCCGCUGUUCUGACGGUACCCAAAGAAUAAGCACCGGCUAACUUCGUG
rnacentral:rRNA from 1 species